rnacentral:rRNA from 1 species
AUUGAACGCUGGCGGCAUGCUUUACACAUGCAAGUCGAACGGUAACAGGCCGCAAGGUGCUGACGAGUGGCGCACGGGUGAGUAAUGCAUCGGAACGUGCCCAGUCGUGGGGGAUAACUACUCGAAAGAGUAGCUAAUACCGCAUACGAUCUAUGGAUGAAAGCGGGGGACCGUAAGGCCUCGCGCGAUUGGAGCGGCCGAUGUCAGAUUAGGUAGUUGGUGGGGUAAAGGCUCACCAAGCCAACGAUCUGUAGCUGGUCUGAGAGGGCGACCAGCCACACUGGGACUGAGACACGGCCCAGACUCCUACGGGAGGCAGCAGUGGGGAAUUUUGGACAAUGGGCGCAAGCCUGAUCCAGCAAUGCCGCGUGCAGGAAGAAGGCCUUCGGGUUGUAAACUGCUUUUGUACGGAACGAAACGGCUCUGGUUAAUACCCGGGGCUAAUGACGGUACCGUAAGAAUAAGCACCGGCUAACUACGUG